rnacentral:lncRNA from 1 species
CCGUCGCCUCCUCCUCCGCCUCCUCCGGAUGCGCCUCCGCCCUCCCCGGUGCCGCCGUCACCUCCUCCUCCGCCUCCUCCGGAUGCGCCUCCACCCUCCCCGGUGCCGCCGUCGCCUCCUCCUCCGCCUCCUCCGGAUGCGCCUCCACCCUCCCCGGUGCCCCCGUCACCUCCUCCUCCGCCUCCUCCGGAUACGCCUCCACCCAGUCCGCUGCCGCCGUCGCCUCCUCCUCCCAGCCCAGAGCCCGGUGUGCCUCCGCCCAGCCCGGUGCCGCCGUCACCUCCUCCUCCGCCUCCUCCGGAUGCGCCUCCACCCUCCCCGGUGCCCCCGUCACCUCCUCCUCCGCCUCCUCCGGACGCGCCUCCACCCUCCCCGGUGCCGCCGUCGCCUCCUCCUCCGCCUCCUCCGGAUGCGCCUCCACCCUCCCCGGUGCCGCCGUCGCCUCCUCCUCCGCCUCCUCCGGAUGCGCCUCCGCCCAGCCCGGUGCCGCCGUCACCUCCUCCUCCGCCUCCUCCGGAUGCGCCUCCACCCAGCCCUGUGCCCCCGUCGCCUCCUCCUCCCAGCCCAG